CACGUAGGGCGCGAGCGUUAUCCGGAAUUAUUGGGCGUAAAGAGCUCGUAGGCGGCCUGUUGCGUCCGCUGUGAAAGCCCGGGGCUUAACCCCGGGUCGGCAGUGGAUACGGGCAGGCUAGAGGUAGGUAGGGGAGAAUGGAAUUCCCGGUGUAGCGGUGAAAUGCGCAGAUAUCGGGAGGAACACCGGUGGCGAAGGCGGCGAUCUGGGAAGAUACUGACGCUGAGACGCGAAAGCGUGGGGAGCGAACAGG
rnacentral:rRNA from 1 species